rnacentral:rRNA from 1 species
UGAGUAACCUGCCCUUCACUCUGGGAUAACCCCGGGAAACCGGGGCUAAUACCGGAUACGAGUCCGAGCGGCAUCACACGGACUGGAAAGUUUUUCGGCUAAGGAUGGGCUCGCGGCCUAUCAGCUUGUUGGUGGGGUAAUGGCCUACCAAGGCGACGACGGGUAGCCGGCCUGAGAGGGCGACCGGCCACACUGGGACUGAGACACGGCCCAGACUCCUACGGGAGGCA